rnacentral:rRNA from 1 species
GAUGAACGCUGGCGGCGUGCUUAACACAUGCAAGUCGAGCGAAGCAAUUUAAAGGAAGUUUUCGGAUGGAAUUUAGAUUGACUUAGUGGCGGACGGGUGAGUAACGCGUGGGGAACCUGCCUCGUACUGGGGGAUAACAGUUAGAAAUGACUGCUAAUACCGCAUAAGCGCACAGGAUGGCAUCAUCUGGUGUGAAAAACUCCGGUGGUAUGAGAUGGACCCGCGUCUGAUUAGCUAGUUGGUAGGGUAACGGCCUACCAAGGCGACGAUCAGUAGCCGACCUGAGAGGGUGACCGGCCACAUUGGGACUGAGACACGGCCCAAACUCCUACGGGAGGCAGCAGUGGGGAAUAUUGCACAAUGGGCGAAAGCCUGAUGCAGCGACGCCGCGUGAGUGAAGAAGUAUUUCGGUAUGUAAAGCUCUAUCAGCAGGGAAGAAAAUGACGGUACCUGACUAAGAAGCCCCGGCUAACUACGUGCCAGCAGCCGCGGUAA